UACAGAGGGGGCAAGCGUUGUUCGGAAUUACUGGGCGUAAAGGGCGCGUAGGCGGCCUGCUAAGUCGAACGUGAAAUCCCUGGGCUCAACCCAGGAACUGCGUCCGAUACUGGUUGGCUUGAAUCCGGGAGAGGGACGUGGAAUUCCAGGUGUAGCGGUGAAAUGCGUAGAUAUUCGGAGGAACACCAGAAGCGAAGGCGGCUCACUGGCCCGAUACUGACGCUGAGGCGCGAAAGCGUGGGGAGCAAACAGG
rnacentral:rRNA from 1 species